rnacentral:pre_miRNA from 1 species
CGGUGAGAACGUACAGUAAGCACUUGACGAUGUAUAUUGUACGACUCUCAUCGUA